rnacentral:rRNA from 2 species
AAACGACUCUCGGCAACGGAUAUCUCGGCUCUCGCAUCGAUGAAGAACGUAGCGAAAUGCGAUACUUGGUGUGAAUUGCAGAAUCCCGUGAACCAUCGAGUCUUUGAACGCAAGUUGCGCCCAAAGCCCUCGGGCUAAGGGCACGUCUGCCUGGGUGUCACGC